AGACGGAGGGGGCAAGCGUUGUUCGGAAUCACUGGGCGUAAGGGCGCGUAGGCGGCCGAGUAAGUCUUGCGUGAAAGCCCCGGGCUCAACCCGGGAAGUGCGCGGGAAACUGUUCGGCUCGAGGACCGGAGGGGAGAGCGGAAUUCCCGGUGUAGCGGUGGAAUGCGUAGAUAUCGGGAGGAACAUCGGUGGCGAAGGCGGCUCUCUGGACGGUACCUGACGCUGAAGCGCGAAAGCGUGGGGAGCGAACGGGAUUAGAAACCCUAGUAGUCC
rnacentral:rRNA from 1 species